GAAGAAGAAUCCCUAUAAAGAAGAUAAAUGGUAAUGGAAACCGUACGUAGGAGGUGAGAAUGGCACGUGCGGUAGGAAGAAGCAAAAUCCAGAAAGGCCGUGGAGGAGAGAGCACGUGAUGGUCCAACACCAAAUCCACGAUUCAAGGUCCCCUCGUUUGACUUAGCCUUUUUAGUCUUGAGAUUCUCCCUUCACACAAGAAAAAGACUUACCCCUUUCUCUUCAUCAUUCUCCCCUUUAUUUAUUUCCCCCAAACAAGUAAUUAAUUACAUUUAAAGAGUAUACUGUAGUAUAUGAUAUGGUGGUGGAAACUUUAGGUCCUAAAUUCUAUGUAACGAAGAAACACAUAGUAGUAAAAAAAUAAAAAAUUGGAUUCUCACGGUAAAUCAUCUCUUCGUAACCAUUUAUGAAACUCACAAUUAAAGGUAAUCUCUGUUGGCUGGCUGCCCGAUAUUAAUUACAAUAAAUCUUAGUUGAGAUGUGCCGUUGCCUUCACGAAGACGUCAUCUGCAUUAAACCCUUAUUAAUGAAGGGUUUAAUCAUAUAGAUGCCAACAUGUUCUGAAACUUUAUAAUGUUAUUUUUAGAGUCCUCCAUUAUGGGCUAUUGUGUGUGUACGUUCGUACGUAUAAAUUCAAAGUAUAGAUUGUGUAUACAAUAAAUGUAUAUUGUGUUGUACAUGUACAGUUUCGUCCAGGUGGAUUCCUUUACUGGAUUAGCU
rnacentral:lncRNA from 1 species